GACGAACGCUGGCGGCGUGCCUAAUACAUGCAAGUCGAGCGAAGCGGGGACGGGUGAGUAACACGUAAGGAACCUCCGAUAAGCGGGGGACAACAUCCGGAAACGGGUGCUACACCGCAUACUUACCGAUGGCCUUGAGGUGCAUUAGCUCGUGGGUGGGGUAACGGCCUACCAAGGCAAUGAUGCAUAGCCGACCUGGGAGGGUAUUCGGCCACAUUGGGACUGAGACACGGCCCCAACUCCUAGGAGAGACAGCAGUAGGGAAUCUUCCGCAAUGGGCGCAAGCCUGACGGAGCAACGCCGCAUGAGUGAAGAAGGUUUUCGGAUCGUAAAGCUCUGUUGUAAGAGAAGCGGUAUCUUACCAGAACGCCACGGCUAACUACGUGCCAGCAGCCGCGGUAAUAC
rnacentral:rRNA from 1 species